AAUAUUGGGCAAUGGACGCAAGUCUGACCCAGCCAUGCCGCGUGGAGGAUGAAGGUCCUCUGGAUUGUAAACUUCUUUUAUCUGGGAAGAAAUCCAUAUUUUCUAAUGUGGUUGACGGUACCAGAUGAAUAAGCACCGGCUAACUCCGUGCCAGCAGCCGCGGUAAUACGGAGGGGGCAAGCGUUGUCCGGACUUACUGGGCGUAAAGGGUGCGUAGGCGGUGGGGUGCGUUCGCCCUGAAAGCACCGGGCUCAACCCGGUGAGGCGGGCGAAUACGACCCGACUGGAGGCUCAGAGAGGGUGGCGGAACUCCUGGUGUAGUGGUGAUAUGCGUAGAGAUCAGGAAGAACACCCGUGGCGCAAGCGGCCACCUGGCUGAGUACUGACGCUGAGGCACGAAAGCGUGGGGAGCGAAC
rnacentral:rRNA from 1 species